GAUGAACGCUGGCGGCGUGCCUAAUACAUGCAAGUCGAGCGAACGGACGAGAAGCUUGCUUCUCUGAUGUUAGCGGCGGACGGGUGAGUAACACGUGGAUAACCUACCUAUAAGACUGGGAUAACUUCGGGAAACCGGAGCUAAUACCGGAUAAUAUUUUGAACCGCAUGGUUCAAAAGUGAAAGACGGUCUUGCUGUCACUUAUAGAUGGAUCCGCGCUGCAUUAGCUAGUUGGUAAGGUAACGGCUUACCAAGGCAACGAUGCAUAGCCGACCUGAGAGGGUGAUCGGCCACACUGGAACUGAGACACGGUCCAGACUCCUACGGGAGGCAGCAGUAGGGAAUCUUCCGCAAUGGGCGAAAGCCUGACGGAGCAACGCCGCGUGAGUGAUGAAGGUCUUCGGAUCGUAAAACUCUGUUAUUAGGGAAGAACAUAUGUGUAAGUAACUGUGCACAUCUUGACGGUACCUAAUCAGAAAGCCACGGCUAACUACGUGCCAGCAGCCGCGGUAAUACGUAGGUGGCAAGCGUUAUCCGGAAUUAUUGGGCGUAAAGCGCGCGUAGGCGGUUUUUUAAGUCUGAUGUGAAAGCCCACGGCUCAACCGUGGAGGGUCAUUGGAAACUGGAAAACUUGAGUGCAGAAGAGGAAAGUGGAAUUCCAUGUGUAGCGGUGAAAUGCGCAGAGAUAUGGAGGAACACCAGUGGCGAAGGCGACUUUCUGGUCUGUAACUGACGCUGAUGUGCGAAAGCGUGGGGAUCAAACAGGAUUAGAUACCCUGGUAGUCCACGCCGUAAACGAUGAGUGCUAAGUGUUAGGGGGUUUCCGCCCCUUAGUGCUGCAGCUAACGCAUUAAGCACUCCGCCUGGGGAGUACGACCGCAAGGUUGAAACUCAAAGGAAUUGACGGGGACCCGCACAAGCGGUGGAGCAUGUGGUUUAAUUCGAAGCAACGCGAAGAACCUUACCAAAUCUUGACAUCCUUUGACAACUCUAGAGAUAGAGCCUUCCCCUUCGGGGGACAAAGUGACAGGUGGUGCAUGGUUGUCGUCAGCUCGUGUCGUGAGAUGUUGGGUUAAGUCCCGCAACGAGCGCAACCCUUAAGCUUAGUUGUCAUCAUUAAGUUGGGCACUCUAAGUUGACUGCCGGUGACAAACCGGAGGAAGGUGGGGAUGACGUCAAAUCAUCAUGCCCCUUAUGAUUUGGGCUACACACGUGCUACAAUGGACAAUACAAAGGGCAGCGAAACCGCGAGGUCAAGCAAAUCCCAUAAAGUUGUUCUCAGUUCGGAUUGUAGUCUGCAACUCGACUACAUGAAGCUGGAAUCGCUAGUAAUCGUAGAUCAGCAUGCUACGGUGAAUACGUUCCCGGGUCU
rnacentral:rRNA from 1 species